rnacentral:rRNA from 1 species
CCUACGGGAGGCUGCAGUGAGGAAUAUUGGUCAAUGGACGCAAGUCUGAACCAGCCAUGCCGCGUGCAGGAAGACGGCUCUACGAGUUGUAAACUGCUUUUGUACGAGGAUAAACGCAGAUACGCGUAUCUGUCUGAAAGUAAUGUACGAAUAAGGAUCGGCUAACUCCGUGCCAGCAGCCGCGGUAAUACGGAGGAUUCAAGCGUUAUCCGGAUUUAUUGGGUUUAAAGGGAGCGUAGGCGGUCGGAUAAGUUAGAGGUGAAAUCCCGAGGCUCAACGUCGGAAUUGCAUCUGAUACUGGUCGUCUAGAGUGUAGUUGCGGUAGGCGGAAUGUGUGGUGUAGCGGUGAAAUGCUUAGAGAUCAUACAGAACACCGAUUGCGAAGGCAGCUUACCAAGCUACUUCUGACGUUGAGGCACGAAAGCGUGGGGAGCAAACAGGAUUAGAUACCCGAGUAGUC